UAUAGUUUGUUACAAAGUUCAUUAAUCUCUGUUCCUUAGCUUUUGGGCAAUUUUUUCAAAAAAAUCAUCGAUGUUUGGGGAGGACAUUAAGUCCUCGUACGUAAUGGGGCCAUGGCAUAGCAUGUUUGCCGAGGCCCGAUAAUUUAGUUUGUACAGUCUCCAUACCGUUCUUGCGUACCCAAACCGGAAGACUGGUAAGUCCUUGUCGCCCAGCAUUUGUCUCGCCUGCACGAUGUGCUGGAACACGAAAUCUUCAUGCAUGUGCAUCUGUCCGAAGAGGGCCACCAGGUCUGGGACGUUUCCUAUGACGAAUUCGAGGGGAUAGGUCCCGCUUACUAGCUCUAUCAGGGUAUCUAUGAYGUCCAUUGAAGCAUUUACAUCGAAUAUUGUAUUGUUUGUGCACUGCCUAUGAUAGGCGUACUUUGCGCUUGCCAUAACCAGUCUCCCUGCUACAUGUUCUGUUAUCUCUCGUAACGAAUGYCCCGUUGCUAAAAGUGGCAUCCUUAUCUUCUUCUAUCGUCAACAGACGAAAAUAAUGAUUAUGGUGUUUGCUCAAAAGAUCCGUUUAGUCACACUCCCGCCGAACUCUACAGGGACAACUGGUGGGUCAAACGAUCCAUGACAUAUUGUUACAUCUUCCCUCACAAUGAUGAAUAUUGAAGAAAACAUUUUACCUGGCUCACUUCAGGUCCAGAGAAGCAAUCCAAAAAACAGAAAACAGGAUUCAUUCCCUUCGCAGGUACAAAUGCAUGAUGUCUUGUCAUGUUUGUUAUCAUGCUGGCGUCAUAUGUUUGUCAGGAGCCAAUCAAGAAGACACGUGAUUUUUUCUUGAAACAGUUUGUAUUUUGCUACUACUUUGUUACCAAUAAACGGUUUUGUUGUUA